GUCCAUGCCGUAAACGAUGAUUACUAGGUGUGGGUGGUCUGACCCCAUCCGUGCCGGAGUUAACACAAUAAGUAAUCCACCUGGGGAGUACGGCCGCAAGGUUGAAACUCAAAGGAAUUGACGGGGGCCCGCACAAGCAGUGGAGUAUGUGGUUUAAUUCGAAGCAACGCGAAGAACCUUACCAGGUCUUGACAUCCUGCUAACGAGGUAGAGAUACGUUAGGUGCCCUUCGGGGAAAGCAGAGACAGGUGGUGCAUGGUUGUCGU
rnacentral:rRNA from 1 species